rnacentral:rRNA from 1 species
UACGUAUGGAGCAAGCGUUAUCCGGAUUUACUGGGUGUAAAGGGUGCGUAGGUGGCAGUGCAAGUCAGAUGUGAAAGGCCGGGACUCAACCCCGGAGCUGCAUUUGAAACUGCUCGGCUAGAGUACAGGAGAGGCAGGCGGAAUUCCUAGUGUAGCGGUGAAAUGCGUAGAUAUUAGGAGGAACACCAGUGGCGAAGGCGGCCUGCUGGACUGUUACUGACACUGAGGCACGAAAGCGUGGGGAGCAAACAGG